CGCACGGGUGAGUAACACGUAUCCAACCUGCCGUCUACUCUUGGACAGCCUUCUGAAAGGAAGAUUAAUACAAGAUGGCAUCAUAAGUCCGCAUGUUCACAUGAUUAAAGGUAUUCCGGUAGACGAUGGGGAUGCGUUCCAUUAGAUAGUAGGCGGGGUAACGGCCCACCUAGUCUUCGAUGGAUAGGGGUUCUGAGAGGAAGGUCCCCCACAUUGGAACUGAGACACGGUCCAA
rnacentral:rRNA from 1 species